rnacentral:lncRNA from 1 species
AACCGCUUAAUUACUAUCCAACAUCAUUCUAUCAUUCAUUAAUUUUACAAUAUUUCUGUAAAUAGUCUUUAAAUUUCUUCCAAUCUUCUUCCACCGACUCUUCUCCCUGGUCUCGGAUUCUGCCAGUCAUUUCUGCCAAUUCCAUAUAGUCCAUCACCUUCAUCUGCCAUUCUUCCAAAGUGGGUAGAUCUUGUGUCUUCCAAUACUUUGCAAUGAGUAUUCUUGCUGCUGUUGUAGCAUACAUAAAAAAGUUCUGUCCUUCUUUGGCACCAAUUGGCCGACAAUGCCCAGAAGAAAGGCCUCUGGUUUCUUCAAGAAGGUAUAUUUAAAUACCUUUUUCAGUUCAUUAUAUAUCAUUUCCCAGAAAGCCUUAAUCCUUGGGCACGUCCACCAAAGGUGAAAGAAUGUACCUUCAGUUUCUUUACAUUUCCAGCAUUUAUUGUCGGGCAAAUGAUAGAUUUUUGCAAGCUUGACUGGGGUCAUGUACCACCUGUAUAUCAUUUUCAUAAUAUUCUCUCUUAGGGCAUUACAUGCCGUAAACUUCAUACCUGUGGUCCAUAACUGUUCCCAGUCAGCAAACAUAAUAUUAUGUCCAACAUCUUGUGCCCAUUUAAUCAUAGCAGAUUUCACCGUUUCAUCCUGAGUAUUCCAUUUCAACAGCAAGUUAUACAUUCUUGACAAAUUCUUAGUUUUGGGUUCUAACAGUUCUGUUUCUAGUUUUGAUUUUUCCACCUGGAAGCCAAUUUUCUU